UUUCCGUAGGUGAACCUGCGGAAGGAUCAUUAACAAGUCUGGUGCGGAGCAGCUGCUCCGACACGUGUGCUGCGUGCACUGUGUGCGCAGGCGACAUUCAUUUUGACUGACUGAUGUUUGGAAAGGACUACAACUUUUAACAAUGGAUCUCUAGGCUCUUGCAUCGAGAAGAACGCAGC
rnacentral:misc_RNA from 1 species